UUUGCAUCUAGGGUAUGAGCCUGUAACAUGGCAACCUCUUUGCUGACCUGUUUGGGAAUAAACUGUGCUGGGAGAGAAAUCUAAGCACUGGGAGUCCCCUCAGACAGUUCUCUGAGGUCCAGUUGUGCUCUGAACACUUGCAAUUAUCCAGGAAAAAUGAGAACCCCAAAAUAUUUUCAAGCUGGCAGUGACGCCAAAUGGAGACCAGUCAGUCUGAGGCUUGUGAGUGGUAAACAGAACAGUGAGUCCCACAUUUCUUCUACCACCUGAGAUCCCUGGCACCAUCCUAGCCUGUCUAUCCAACAGUGUGCAAUUCACAGUCAUCAAGGUAUGUUGUGCAUGUUUUUUAAAGUAUAAUUUUCCUCCCC
rnacentral:lncRNA from 1 species